GACAAGGAAGUUGUCUUAUCUCUUUUGUAACAAAAGGAUUUUUCUUGCCAGGAUUGUACCUGUGGGUGUGUGGGUUUGUUCAAAAAUGUCAGAUGUUUAACGCCUUUAUAAAUAAUCCCUAGUGACACUCAGCAGCUACAUUCGGUCAUGGGUUGGUUUGCAUUGUACUUCUUUCUCCUGUCAGGGCUGCCACCUCUCUAUUAUGCUCAAACUACAGCUCCCAGUACCAGCCCAACAGGCUGUGCAGGACCACCUGUGCUGUGCUGCUCUGGUCAAAACAACUCCUGUUUCAGGACCUGUUACUGUGAUGAGCACUGCACAAAUGUUGGAGACUGCUGUGAUGACUACAACACAACCUGCACACAACCGUCUACUCUUGCAACGCCAGGAGGACCCACCAGAAGCAGCAGUGCUGGGCUGACAUCUACACCAGCAACUUCAGCAACAACAGUCUUGUCAGCAGCAUCACCCAGUGCAACAUCUGCAGUGCUGAAUGUGAACACAACCUUAGCAUCUACAGUCUCUGGAACUGCAGCCACUGGCCAUAUCAGCAACAGCAUGUCUAUACCGGCAGAUAACAGCACAUCCUCAUCAGUCUCAGUGACAACAGGACCACGCACAACAAACAGCAAUACUUCCAGUACCAACAAAACAUUAGCAUCGACAGUCUCUGGUACCACAAAACCCAGCACGACUGGCAGCACUGUGACAUCUACACUGGCAAGUAUUUCCACAACUUCAUCAUCAGCAGUCUCGGCAACAGCACCCAAUACAACAUCUGCAGUGUUGAAUGUGAGCUCAACCUCGGUCUCUACAUUCACUGCUACUACAGCAACCAGCCAAACAAGCAGCAGUAUAUCUACACAAACAGAUAACAGCACAACUAACACCAAUACUAACUCAACACCAGCAGAUAUUAGAACAAAUUCAUCAUCCGCAGUCUCACCAAUAACGGUAACCAGUAGAGCAUCUGCAGGAUCAAAUGUGAGCAACACCUCAGCCUCCACGGUCUCUACAGCAACCAGUCAAACAAGGAUCAGUACAUCUACACUAAUAGAUAACAACAAAACUUUAUCAGCUACUGGAACAACAACAACAAACACCACAAACAGCAAUACUACCACUACGCAAGCAGAUAUCAGAGCAACUUCAAUAUCCACAGCAUCUGAAACAACACAGCCAAGCACAACAAACAGUAAUAUAUCUACACCAGUAGAUGUCAGCACAGCAUCAACUACAAUCUCUACUACUCCAGCACCCUCCCCAAUAAACAGCACUACUACCACGACGCAAGCAGAUGGAAGCACAACUUCAUCAUCGCCAGUCUCUCUUACUACGGUGCCCACACAAUCUACAUCAACCAGUACAAGCCCAUCUUUGUCGUCCACGCUCUCUUCAACGACACCGCCCAGUAUGACCAGCAGCAGAACAGCAGCAGUAGAUGAGAGCACAACCUCAACUACAGCAUCUACCAAAGAAAGCAUCAGUUCUACAUCUAAACCAUUAGAUGGCCUCACAACUUCAGCACCCACAGCUCCAGCAGGAACAACACUGGCAGAAACAAGUACAACUCUGGAUGCCAGUAGUGUCACGUCUUCACCAGCAGAUGGAAGCAAAUCUGGAGCUUUGAAGAAAAACACAGAUUCCAGGACCACCACCAGCUCAGGAAAGGACACACUCAGUGACAUGUGCUUCAGGGAUGUAGUUAACAGUUUGAAUGGUAAAAUACAUUUCUAUUUUCUCAUUUCUUGUUUCAGAUGGCCAAACACUGACUGUUCACCUAAAGGUUUCUGUCUUAACCAGUAACAAGGACAAGACUGCGCUGCUGGAAGCUUUAUCUAAU
ensembl:lncRNA